GCUUACAAACAACAAAGCCAGAUUGUCGUACACGGCUUCUCAUAUUUACCAAUUUUCAACCCCAAAAACAUCUGGACCCAAUAACUACAUUAAUUUACAGUUCUCAAUAAAAUAAUUAAUUCCUGCUGUUUCUUGUCCAUAGUUAAGCAUCAGAAACCAGUAAAUAGGGUCCUCUGAGUACGACAAUCUGGCAAGCUGGCUCACAAACCCCAAAAACUCACAAACCAAAAUGAAUGCACACUGUACUGCUCAAAACACCAAGAACACACACUACAGCACAGGCGAGCUGACCAGCCGCCCCAGAGAGCCCAGCGACCACACCCUGCAAGACAGCCUGCUCAUCCUGGGACACACACAGCCUCACCGUUCAGGCAGGAGACUGACGGGACGAGAACAACAACAACAACAACAACAAGAGGAGGAGGGGGAGGAGGGUGGUACACAGGAGUGACUGGUGGGUGUUUGGUGACCCAGGGCGUUGAGGGAAGCCAGACGCUCUCCUAUAGGGCUUCAGGCAGAUACAACUCCCUCAUCACCUGCUUCACUCCAGCCCAGACUUUGCCACUCACACCCAACAGCUUCAUCUUAAGGAAGAAGAAGAAGAAGAAGAAGAAGAAGAAGAAGAAGAAGAAAACACACAGAGAGAGAAGAGGAGGAAGAAGAAGAGGAAGGACUUGUAAUAUGGCAGACAUCAAACCAAUGAAUUGAACAGCUGAAUGGACUCCAUCUCUUGAGGGCGGCUUCGUAUCCCAGCGUGAUCUCCUGCAAGGCAUCCCAGCACACACCACAUGCUCUGGAGGGGGAGAGAACGUCAAGAUGAAUCGGCCUUGUCUUGGAGGAAAUGUACUCUGUUUUGACUUUGCUCUCAAUAAACAUAGACCCUAA